rnacentral:rRNA from 1 species
UGGGGAAUAUUGGACAAUGGGCGAAAGCCUGAUCCAGCAAUACCGCGUGUGUGAAGAAGGCCUUAGGGUUGUAAAGCACUUUCAAUUGGGAGGAAAACCUAUCGACCAAUACCCGAUAGCUUGACAUUACCUUUAGAAGAAGCACCGGCUAACUCCGUGCCAGCAGCCGCGGUAAUACGGAGGGUGCGAGCGUUAAUCGGAAUUACUGGGCGUAAAGCGUGCGUAGGCGGUUCGUUAAGUCAGAUGUGAAAGCCCUGGGCUCAACCUGGGAACUGCAUUUGAAACUGGCGGACUAGAGUUUAGUAGAGGGGAGUGGAAUUUCAGGUGUAGCGGUGAAAUGCGUAGAUAUCUGAAGGAACACCAGUGGCGAAGGCGACUCCCUGGACUAGAACUGACGCUGAGGUACGAAAGCGUGGGUAGCAAACAGGAUUAGAUACCCUGGUAGUCCACGCCGUAAACGAUGUCGACUAGCCGUUGGCCCUAUUUACAGGGUUAGUGGCGCAGCUAACGCAUUAAGUCGACCGCCUGGGGAGUACGGCCGCAAGGUUA